rnacentral:misc_RNA from 1 species
UCGAGGUGGGCGGAUGGCUGG